GAUGAACGCUGGCGGCGUGCCUAAUACAUGCAAGUCGAGCGAACAGGUAAGGAGCUUGCUCCUUUGACGUUAGCGGCGGACGGGUGAGUAACACGUGGGUAACCUACCUAUAAGACUGGGAUAACUUCGGGAAACCGGAGCUAAUACCGGAUAAUAUUUCGAACCGCAUGGUUCGAUAGUGAAAGAUGGUUUUGCUAUCACUUAUAGAUGGACCCGCGCCGUAUUAGCUAGUUGGUAAGGUAACGGCUUACCAAGGCGACGAUACGUAGCCGACCUGAGAGGGUGAUCGGCCACACGGGAACUGGGACACGGUCAAGACUCCUACGGGAGGCAGCAGUAGGGAAUCGUACGCAAUGGGCGAAAGCCUGACGGAGCAACGCCGCGUGAGUGAUGAAGGUCUUCGGAUCGUAAAACUCUGUUAUUAGGGAAGAACAUACGUGUAAGUAACUGUGCACGUCUUGACGGUACCUAAUCAGAAAGCCACGGCUAACUACGUG
rnacentral:rRNA from 1 species